rnacentral:rRNA from 1 species
GAUGAACGCUGGCGGCGUGCCUAAUACAUGCAAGUCGAGCGAACAGACGAGGAGCUUGCUCCUCUGACGUUAGCGGCGGACGGGUGAGUAACACGUGGAUAACCUACCUAUAAGACUGGGAUAACUUCGGGAAACCGGAGCUAAUACCGGAUAAUAUAUUGAACCGCAUGGUUCAAUAGUGAAAGACGGUUUUGCUGUCACUUAUAGAUGGAUCCGCGCCGCAUUAGCUAGUUGGUAAGGUAACGGCUUACCAAGGCGACGAUGCGUAGCCGACCUGAGAGGGGGAUCGGCCACACUGGAACUGAGACACGGUCCAGACUCCUACGGGAGGCAGCAGUAGGGAAUCUUCCGCAAUGGGCGAAAGCCUGACGGAGCAACGCCGCGUGAGUGAUGAAGGUCUUCGGAUCGUAAAACGCUGUUAUUAGGGAAGAACAAAUGUGUAAGUAACUAUGCACGUCUUGACGGUACCUAAUCAGAAAGCCACGGCUAACUACGU